AAGACCUUGCGCUUUUGGAGCGGCCGAUGUCUGAUUAGCUUGUUGGUAAGGUAAAAGCUUACCAAGGCUUCGAUCAGUAGCUGGUCUGAGAGGACGACCAGCCACACUGGGACUGAGACACGGCCCAGACUCCUACGGGAGGCAGCAGUGGGGAAUUUUGGACAAUGGGGGCAACCCUGAUCCAGCCAUGCCGCGUGAGUGAAGGAGGCCUUCGGGUUGUAAAGCUCUUUCAGCCGGAACGAAACGGUUACGGUUAAUACCCGUGACUACUGACGGUACCGGAAGAAGAAGCACCGGCUAACUACGUGCCAGCAGCCGCGGUAAUACGUAGGGUGCAAGCGUUAAUCGGAAUUACUGGGCGUAAAGCGUGCGCAGGUGGUUUUGUAAGUCAGAUGUGAAAUCCCCGGGCUUAACCUGGGAACU
rnacentral:rRNA from 1 species